AGAGUUUGAUCAUGGCUCAGAAUCAACGCUGGCGGCGUGCCUAACACAUGCAAGUCGAACGCGAAAGUCCCGCAAGGGAUUAGUAGAGUGGCAAACGGGUGAGUAACACGUGGGUGACCUGCCUUCGAGUGGGGGAUAACGUCCCGAAAGGGACGCUAAUACCGCAUGACAUCCUGCCUUUGAAGAGGUGGAGAUCAAAGCUGGGGAUCGCAAGACCUAGCGCUCAAAGAGGGGCCCGCGCCUGAUUAGCUAGUUGGCGAGGUAACGGCUCACCAAGGCAACGAUCAGUAUCCGGCCUGAGAGGGCGGACGGACACACUGGGACUGAGACACGGCCCAGACUCCUACGGGAGGCAGCAGUGGGGAAUUGUUCGCAAUGGGCGCAAGCCUGACGACGCAACGCCGCGUGGAGGAUGAAGACCUUCGGGUCGUAAACUCCUUUCGAUCGAGACGAACGGCCUCCGGGUGAACAGUCCGGAGGAGUGACGGUACCGAGAGAAGAAGCCCCGGCUAACUCCGUGCCAGCAGCCGCGGUAAUACGGGGGGGGCAAGCGUUGUUCGGAAUUACUGGGCGUAAAGGGCUCGUAGGCGGCCAACUAAGUCAGACGUGAAAUCCCUCGGCUUAACCGGGGAACUGCAUCUGAUACUGGAUGGCUUGAGUUCGGGAGAGGGAUGUGGAAUUCCAGGUGUAGCGGUGAAAUGCGUAGAUAUCUGGAGGAACACCGGUGGCGAAGGCGGCAUCCUGGACCGACACUGACGCUGAGGAGCGAAAGCCAGGGAGCAAACGGGAUUAGAUACCCCGGUAGUUCCGGCCCUAAACGAUGAAUGCUUGCUGUGGCGGGCAUCGAUCCCUGCCGUGCCGAAGCUAACGCAUUAUGCAUCCGGCCUGGCGAAGUACGGUCGCAAGGACUGAAACUUCAAAGGAAUGGACGG
rnacentral:rRNA from 1 species